GAGAUCCCCAGUUCUGAGAACAGUGAUUCUGUACAGACAGACAUUGAAACCAGCGACAUGUUCGCCGACAUGAUCAGGAACUUUUUUCCAGAUAAUUUAGUGACGGCUUGUUUCCAAAAGACUCAGACUAAAUACUCGCAUGCCUCACGAGUGGUUUUGAAGAACGGUACCAAUAGUUCGGUUACAGUUGUACAUAAAUCCGUCUCAUCAACAUCAGGGGUUAACAU